AUUGAACGCUGGCGGCAUGCCUUACACAUGCAAGUCGAACGGCAGCAUGGAGAGCUUGCUCUCUGACGGCGAGUGGCGAACGGGUGAGUAAAGCAUCGGAACGUACCGUGUAGUGGGGGAUAACGUAGCGAAAGUUACGCUAAUACCGCAUACGCACUGAGGUGGAAAGCAGGGGAUCGCAAGACCUUGCGCUAUACGAGCGGCCGAUGUCAGAUUAGCUAGUUGGUAGGGUAAAGGCCUACCAAGGCGACGAACUGUAGCGGGUCUGAGAGGAGGAUCAGCCAGACUGGGACUGAGACACGGCCCAGACUCCUACGGGAGGCAGCAGUGGGGAAUUUUGGACAAUGGGGGCAACCCUGAUCCAGCCAUGCCGCGUGAGUGAAGAAGGCCUUCGGGUUGUAAAGCUCUUUCGGCCGGGAAGAAAUCGCACAGGCUAAUACUCUGUGUGGAUGACGGUACCGGCAUAAGAAGCACCGGCUAACUACGUGCCAGCAGCCGCCGUAA
rnacentral:rRNA from 1 species